rnacentral:ribozyme from 11 species
GGGAAGGAAGAAAAAGAAAGAGCGAAGAAGACGUCUCAGCAUGCGUAACACCUUUAUUUGUUUCUUCUGAGUUCGUGCGCUUCUUUCGUUGUUUGAGCAGUCUCCCUUUCCCCCUCUCUCCGUGCAUAGAGAAAAAGACAAGAACCCAGAUCAGAGAAACUCGCCGAGGAAGAUAGAAAAUCAA